GUGUCAAUGGAAUUCUGUUAGUUUCUUCGUUCUGCGACGUUUGUAGUGCGGUUUCUCGGUCGAUUUUUUGGGCGGGAUGUCUGCCUGUGGUUACAGCGGAGUCAGGAUAGCAGCGUUUUUUU